UUACGACCGUAUCAUGUCGAAACACCGGUCCCUAUACAAUCACCGAAGUUAAGCAACGUCGACCCUGGUCAGUACCUAGAUGAGUGACCGUUUGGGAAUAAUAGGUGCCGUAAG